GAAUCGCUGCGCGGUAUGCUUUAGCCUGCACGUCGAACGGCGGCACGGGCUUCGGCCUGGUGGCGAGUGGCGAACGGGUGAGUAAUGCAUCGGAACGUGCCCAUGUCGUGGGGGAUAACGUAGCGAAAGCUACGCUAAUACCGCAUACGCCCUGAGGGGGAAAGCGGGGGAUUCUUCGGAACCUCGCGCGAUUGGAGCGGCCGAUGUCGGAUUAGCUAGUAGGUGAGGUAAAGGCUCACCUAGGCGACGAUCCGUAGCGGGUCUGAGAGGAUGAUCCGCCACACUGGGACUGAGACACGGCCCAGACUCCUACGGGAGGCAGCAGUGGGGAAUUUUGGACAAUGGGGGCAACCCUGAUCCAGCCAUGCCGCGUGAGUGAAGAAGGCCUUCGGGUUGUAAAGCUCUUUCGGCCGGGAAGAAAUCGGCGACUCUAACAUAGUCGCUGGAUGACGGUACCGGACUAAGAAGCACCGGCUAACUACGUGCCAGCAGCCGCGGUAAUACGUAGGGUGCGAGCGUUAAUCGGAAUUACUGGGCGUAAAGCGUGCGCAGGCGGUUUUGUAAGACAGAUGUGAAAUCCCCGGGCUUAACCUGGGAACUGCGUUUGUGACUGCAAGGCUAGAGUACGGCAGAGGGGGGUGGAAUUCCACGUGUAGCAGUGAAAUGCGUAAGAUGUGGAGGAACACCGAUGGCGAAGGCAGCCCCCUGGGCCUGUACUGACGCUCAUGCACGAAAGCGUGG
rnacentral:rRNA from 1 species